rnacentral:sRNA from 15 species
AAGCAACUCACCCACACUCAAAAGAAAAGAGAGCCGCCAGCAGCCCGAAUCAGGCCAUGCCCUUGAACCUAGUUCAAGGGCGAUAGAAGAGAGAGCGAUGGGGAUCGGCAGCCGGGAGCAUUAAACAGAACAUCCAAGAGGGGGUUCAGAAAGAAAAAUUCCCGCAACGGAGGAGCAUGCGCGCCGGGCACAGUGACUUAGCGAUUUUUUUUUGUUCUGAAAGAAAAAGGGAUCCAGAUCAGGGAAAGACCAGGAACCAGGACCAGGAAGCAUAAGAGGAAUAGGUCACAGCUCCGCCACCCUGGCUUGUUUUUCCUGCUGGUCUCGAAGGAUCAGACCUGGCCACGUAGUGCGGGACCCUCGCCCACUUAGGGAGAAGAAAAAAAGCACAUCAACUUAUUUACUCCCAUUAAUUAUUUUUGUUAGACGUCUCUAGUUAUAAGUAUAUGUAAUUUAAGUCCGUCCCUAUUUAUUAUAUAUAUGUAACCUAUUUAUUUAUAUUUAUUAUAUUAUUUAUUCCUAUUAAUCUAAUUAUUUAUUAACCGCCAGUAGUACUAAGAUGAGGGGGGGAUGAAUAGGCAGGCCUAGUUUAGAAAUGAUAUCGUGUGAAAAUAGGAAAUGAAGUGAAGAUUAUAACGAAGAAAUGAA